CUCCCCCCUCCCAGCCGGUCUUCACCGCUAGCCGUAGCAGCGCCGUCCUCACCGAAGAUCCAGCAGCCCACAGAUCCCCAUCCCUAUUCCCUCACCGUCAACCACGAUAGAUCUUCCCUCGUCAGCACAGACCGGCCUCCACCGAAACCAACCCCAGAGCAGCCCAAACACAUCGGCGCCCACAGACCCAGAUCUGUCCGCCUUCUUCCUCCAGCUCCUCCCCCACAGACGGCGUCCUCUUCCUCAUCAACCGACUCCCCUUCUCUAAUUCAACCCCAUGUAGAAGAUCUGGACUGAGACCCAACCGCCACAUCUGCCACCUGCAGAAGAAGAAAACAAAACGAACCGAGGAAAAGAGAAGGCGGAUUUCUUUUAACAUGUGAGAACUUCUGAUGAUACAAAUGGAACAGAAUGCUUCCUCUUUUAAUGAGCACUUGAGAGUUGUCCAGACGUGAAGCAGUUAGUUUUCUCUGCAACGUAUGGUGUCGUAUUACAUUACAUUACGAACCACAAUUACUAGGAGCUGAGCGGUUUUCCUGUUGCGCAGCUGCUUCUGUUUGGUUCACUAUUUUGGGACUUGGUAUAAGCCUUUCUUCUCUUUCUUUUUCUGUACCCUUUUUGGCUUGCUACUGUUUAUUGCUUCAUUGCUAGUCUUGAUAGAUUUUGGCUCUGAUUAGUAUGAGAGUCUUUGCUUGAUGGCCAUAUUGAAAGGAUUACCCAUGAAAGACGCUAUCAAGUUGGCAAGUUGUGGGGGAUGUUGAUCGUGUUGGAGAGAGUGGAAUUGUCUCAAUAUGGGGUCUCUAGCUUUUUUUUAUGGGCUGGCCAUUCCAUCUUCACUGUAUGGCCUUAAUGUGCACAGGAAUAAAUAUUGGAUGAAAUUGAUGUGAAUGUAGAUGUUCAUAACAAGUAAUGUCUACUUUCCUUCCUGUGUUUCAAAAAAUUCAUAUGAGAAGCUGAGAAGGUGAUACAUGAGUCGGGCUUGUUGAAGCUUAAGAUUAUAAGCAUUCAGAAUAGGAUUUGCCACAAACAAACUAUAUAUGGAUGGCCAAACAUAAAGUAUUGUUGUGUGUUGCCCUAGAAUACUAGCAGCUUAAAAAGUCAACAUCAGAAGAUCAACUGUUGAGUCAUAUUUAAUUUUUUAUAGGAGAUUCUACAUGUUAUUUGCUUAAAUAGAAUAACCUUGUCAUCCAUCGAACCGGUGGAUGCCCUCAAAUUAGGUCUAGAAAAUGUUGUUCAUGUCAAUUAUGUUAUUUUUCUUGAUUUAUUUUGGAUUUAUUAUUUUAUUUUAGAUUUUAUAAUAAUUUUUUAAGUGCUUU